rnacentral:rRNA from 1 species
GACGUAGGGCGCGAGCGUUGUCCGGAUUUAUUGGGCGUAAAGAGCUCGUAGGCGGCUUGUUGCGUCGACCGUGAAAACCCGCGGCUUAACUGCGGGCUUGCGGUCGAUACGGGCGGGCUGGAGUUCGGUAGGGGAGACUGGAAUUCCUGGUGUAGCGGUGAAAUGCGCAGAUAUCAGGAGGAACACCGGUGGCGAAGGCGGGUCUCUGGGCCGAUACUGACGCUGAGGAGCGAAAGCAUGGGGAGCGAACAGG